CCUACGGGUGGCAGCAGUGGGGAAUAUUGCACAAUGGGGGAAACCCUGAUGCAGCGACGCCGCGUGAGUGAAGAAGUAUUUCGGUACGUAAAGCUCUAUUAGCAGGGAAGAAAAUGACGGUACCUGACUAAGAAGCCCCGGCUAACUACGUGCCAGCAGCCGCGGUAAUACGUAGGGGGCAAGCGUUAUCCGGAUUUACUGGGUGUAAAGGGAGCGUAGACGGCAGCGCAAGUCUGGAGUGAAAUCCCAUGGCUUAACCAUGGAACUGCUUUGGAAACUGUGCAGCUAGAGUGCAGGAGAGGUAAGCGGAAUUCCUAGUGUAGCGGUGAAAUGCGUAGAUAUUAGGAGGAACACCAGUGGCGAAGGCAGCUUACUAAGCCAUAACUGACACUGAAGCACGAAAGCGUGGGGAUCAAACAGGAUUAGAUACCCGAGUAGUC
rnacentral:rRNA from 1 species